GAUGAACGCUGGCGGCGUGCCUAAUACAUGCAAGUCGAGCGCACGGACUAUAAGCUUGUUUCUCUUCUGUUAGCGGCGGACGGGUGAGUAACACGUUGAUAACCUACCUCUAAGACGUGGUUAACUUCUGGAAACCGCUGCUAAUACCGGAUCAUAUUUUUAACCGCAUGGUUCAAAUUUUAAUGAUGCUCUUGCUGUUACUAAUAGUUGUUUCCGCGUUGCAUUAGUUAGUUGGUAAGGUAACGGCUUACCAAGGCAACGAUGCGUAGCUGACCUGAGAGGGUGAUCAGCCACACUGGAACUGAGACACGGUCCAGACGCCUACGGGAGGCAGCAGUAGGGAAUAUUCCACAAUGGGCGAAAGCCUGACGGAGCAACGCCGCGUGAGUGAAGAAGGUCUUCGGAUCGUAAAACUCUGUUGUUAGGGAAGAACAGAUGUGAAAGUAAAAGUGGAAGUCAUGAAGGUACCAAAACAAAAAGCACCGGCUAACUACGUG
rnacentral:rRNA from 1 species